rnacentral:rRNA from 1 species
CUACGGGGUGCUCCAGUGGGGAAUAUUGGACAAUGGGGGAAACCCUGAUCCAGCAAUGCCGCGUGUGUGAAGAAGGCCUGCGGGUUGUAAAGCACUUUCGGUUGGGAGGACUGCUUCUAGCACUAAUAUUGUUGGAAGUUGACGUUACCUUCAGAAGAAGCACCGGGUAACUCCGUGCCAGCAGCCGCGGUAAUACGGAGGGUGCAAGCGUGAAUCGGAAUUACUGGGCGUAAAGCGCGCGUAGGCGGCUAGAUCAGUCGGGUGUGAAAGCCCCGGGCUUAACCUGGGAACUGCAUCCGAUACUGUCUAGCUUGAGUACAGGAGAGGAGAGUGGAAUUCCACAUGUAGCGGUGAAAUGCGUAGAUAUGUGGAGGAACACCAAUGGCGAAGGCAGCUCUCUGGCCUGAUACUGACGCUGAGGUGCGAAAGCGUGGGGAGCAAACAGGAUUAGAUACCCCGGUAGUC